AUCUAAUAUGAAUUGCAGUCAAAGUUUUGAGAGGUAAAUUUUUUAAACAAUAAACAAAAUUUAUGUCCGUUUGGAAGUAAUACGUUGGUCUCUUUUAUUUUCAAAAUAUCCUAAUUAUCGUGACACAGAAGUGUUUCUUUAAUGUUGUUCACAAAUGGGUUUGGUCUUACUAAUCAUAGACAUCAUAUGUAAAGGCUAGACGUCUCAUGGCGCAGUCACUUCCGGCAUCACCGGUGGCCAACUUGUCACAGGUAGGCUUCCUGGCGGGCUCUGUGGUACCUGAUGUAAGGUGAGUGAUCAGCACAAACACAAAUACUCUUAUCUCGCUGAAACCUUGACGGAUUUACAAACGGUUUGGUUUCUUACAAACCUUAUUAACGUGGCUAUAAUUCUGAAUGCUUGAAAAUGUUGAAAUUGCUGAAAUUGCAGCUUUUCUUUUCUAAAAACGACUUAAUCGUCCGGCAUAGUUGUAUCACGGCUACUUGCGCAAGUUAUCAAGGCAGAUAUCACAAUCGAGCUGUUCGAUUAUAAAUGUUUUACUGACACCAAUAAUGAUUUUAUGACAACUAAUCUUUUGUCUAAAUUACAAUAUUUGUGGAUGUGGUUGUAGUUAUUUGCUGGCUAAUAAUAAUACGCUUUGAGUGAGACCUAUAGCAGCUAACGUUACAGUUUAGCUGCUAACCAGCAAAGUUGCACAUGAUUUUCAAUCAGGUUGGUUCCUGUGCUGCUUGAAGGACAGCGAUAUGUCCUGACCUACAGGUUCAGCCAGGACCACUUGGAGCUUCUCUUCAACUCCAUCAGAGCAUCUGGAUUUGUUGUGCGAAGGGCUCUGAAGAAGCAAUCGUGUGAUGUCUGCCGUGCCAGCCUGGUGACAGAUGCUGAAUCUGCCCUCAAGGACCAGAGCUACCACCUGCUGACUUGGAGGUCUGGUGGUUCCAUCAGAGGGAACCGUGAGGGUCGUCAGGAAGCAGAGUGGGUCAUUCGGCAGUCAUCAGGAAGUACCAGACAAUCACAGCCCAUCAAACUGCUUGAGGUUGUUUUCAUUGUCCGAAGAAGGAUCGGUUCAGAGGAUGUGUUUGUGUUAGGGGAGCACAUCGGCGAGACGCAGUAUGGGAUAGACAACCAUCACCAUAUGCUGUUAGAAAUAAUUGUGUCCCUGUUUUUUAAGUUAAGGCUGCACCACAUCGCCAGAAUUACAAACCUCAGCUUACAGAGCUACAACAUGCAACAGAAACUUAAUAAAACUGUCCUUUUCAAAGGGCAUUAGCAAAAGGUAUGUGAUUUCAAGGUACUGUCCUCUUCUACAGUAGUGUAGUUCUCUCUACAGCAUUUCUUAUUUGUAAAGGGGAAUCAUGUACCUAUUAUUUUUUUUGUGUGCAAAUAAAUGUCACUUUUAUAAUAUUU
ensembl:lncRNA